UACGGAGGGAGCUAGCGUUGUUCGGAAUUACUGGGCGUAAAGCGCGCGUAGGCGGCUUUGUAAGUUAGAGGUGAAAGCCCGGGGCUCAACUCCGGAAUUGCCUUUAAGACUGCAUCGCUAGAAUCCGGGGGAGGCGAGUGGAAUUCCGAGUGUAGAGGUGAAAUUCGUAGAUAUUCGGAAGAACACCAGUGGCGAAGGCGGCUCACUGGACCGGCAUUGACGCUGAGGUGCGAAAGCGUGGGGAGCAAACAGG
rnacentral:rRNA from 1 species